CCCUACUUCUUGUUCUAGAAAGCUUAGAUUGGUUGAUUUUCUUAUGUCUCACGCGUUAUGCGUUAUGCAAAAGUCUGUGCUUCGGCCUUUUUUCUCACUACUAUUUAAAUGCCCAUAUGACGUUUUUCUGUAGAAAGUGGCGGUAAAAGAAAAGAUUUUAGGUUGUAAAGAAGUGCGAUGUGUGUUAAACACCACCUUACUGUGUUAAUUAUAAUAUGAAGUGAUAGCGUUCAGUGUGAUUUCUUGAUCAGUGUUCAGUGUUUUGUGAACAGUGAAAAAGUGUUUAAUAACCAAGAGGAAAAAGAGAAUAAUUAAUCUGUAUAAAGAUCAUACAGAUUCUCAAUUCUCUUUUACACUUUGAUCUUAGUUUUUUUGCAGGUAUAACUUUAAAUCAGAAAAAAGAAUGGCAGUUCAAAUGCUUGGUGUAUUGUAAAGGAGUGCAACAACAGGAUUGUUGCAGAAAAAAGACAUUUUUUUUGUUUUUCAAAGGAACAUAACAGAUGGUUGAAAUGGAUAGAAAGUAUGUAAAAAACAAGAUAAAGUGAUAGAACCAGAAUGCCUAUUUGAAAUAUCGAAUGUGGCAUUUACAUUUUGAAGAGGAAUGGUACAAAGGAAACAAAAAGAGAGCGUAUCUUUAUCCAGAUGCUAUACCGACAAUAUUUGAAAGGACACUUAUAAGCUUGUAUAUGCCGAAAAUAUAUCGGAUAAUCAUUUUGUAGCAUCAAAGGAUUCAGAGCUUUUACAAUUUUUACGGAGUCUGAAAUCAACUUACGACUUAAGAGGGUACUGGAGCGAGAUCCGAAGUCCGCACUGUGGUCUCUGCC